ACGCUCAGAUUUCUGGGAAAUUAAAUUCCGUUCAUUCAUGAAGAUGGAUCGAACUGUGCCGUAAUCGAAGUAUUCAUUCGACUUUAGGGCUGGAGAUCAUUAGCACUGGACUUGUUUAGAACAUCCGGAAUUCAUCAACCUAGGUCGAAAAAAAGAUGUCAAUUGACUUUUACGCCAACCCGGAAAAAUAAGAUGAAAUCUGAACACCCAUCAUCAUACGCGACCUGCGAUUGAUUAACGGCAGUGUAAAGGAUAAAUUAUUUUGCAAGAA
rnacentral:ribozyme from 1 species